AUUCACAUUUUCAGUGAUUGACUACGACUCAAAUGAGGCCAAUAGAAUCAAUCCUAAAAGUUUUUCUGACAUUUUGAGAAGACAUAUCCUCUUCCUGCUGAGAUUUUGAAGGGGGUAGAAUUUUAGGUUAACCCUGUUAGGCAUCUUUGUCUGGGAAUAAAGCCAACAGAGAGGAAAACGAUUUGGAGAGAAACAAAUGUGCUGGAACAACGGUCAACUGAAGCAGUGGCUUCAUGAAGAAUUCCCUAUGACUUGUUGAUUUGAAAAGAUGAAUUUCCAGCCUACUUUACAGAUGGAGAUGGCACUCAACAACAACCACAACAAAUGGCCCCGCAUUUUAGCUGCUGUCAGGAUGUCUCCGAAAGAUAAUGGUGAAAAAAAUAUAUCUUUCCAGUUAACAGAUCUAUGGGCAAUACAUCUUGUUGUCUCCUUCAACAUGAGUGUGAAACUGUACUAAUUAAGGCACACUUUCUAAUGGGUUGGCUAGCUGGUAGGGAAAUUGGAAUUAAAUUAGGUUGGCCUCGAAGUCUUGAAGUGAAGUAAGGUUCAACUUCUUGUAAUGAGCACAAAUCUGAAGGUACCUGGGUCCUAUAGAAAUACCCGUUAAAUGCCAUCUAUGAGUCUCUUCAUAAUCAGAGAGAAAAGACAGUCUCCUUUGAAGUUGUUCUGCCUCUUUCCAGACUCCAGAGUUUACUCAAUGACCCAAAGUAUAAUGGUAAAAAUGGUGUAUAUUAAUGUGCUUAAUUACAUUGUUAUUUUACCAAGACCGCCUUGCUGUUACCAUAUCUGAAUGUUCACAAUGCUGACAUGGGAGGCUCCGUUACUCAGAGAGACCAGUCCCCCACCAGAAUGUAGAUUGAUUGCUUUGGACACGUGA